rnacentral:rRNA from 1 species
UACGGGGGGUGCGAGCGUUGUCCGGAAUCACUGGGCGUAAAGGGCGCGUAGGUGGCCUGGUAAGUCUGUGGUGAAAGCCCGGAGCUCAACUCCGGGUCUGCCGCGGAUACUGCGAGGCUUGAGUGCUGUAGAGGGGGGUAGAAUGCCGGGUGUAGCGGUGGAAUGCGUAGAGAUCCGGCAGAAGACCGGUGGCGAAGGCGGCCCCCUGGGCAGUAACUGACGCUGAGGAGCGAAAGCGUGGGGAGCGAACAGG